GACGGAGGAGGGAAGCGUUAUCCGGAAUUAUUGGGCGUAAAGGGUACGUAGGCGGCUGGUCAAGUCUGGGGUCAAAGGCCACAGCUCAACUGUGGAAAGGCCCUGGAAACUGACCGGCUAGAGUGAGGUAGGGGUUGCGGGAAUUCCCGGUGUAGCGGUGAAAUGCGUAGAGAUCGGGAAGAACACCUGAGGCGGAAGCGCGCAACUGGGCCUCAACUGACGCUGAGGUACUAAAGCUAGGGGAGCGAAUGGG
rnacentral:rRNA from 1 species